rnacentral:rRNA from 1 species
CCUACGGGAGGCAGCAGUGAGGAAUAUUGGUCAAUGGGCGCAAGCCUGAACCAGCCAAGUAGCGUGAAGGAUGACGGCCCUACGGGUUGUAAACUUCUUUUAUAAGGGAGUAAAGUGAGGCACGUGUGCCGUUUUGUAUGUACUUUAUGAAUAAGGAUCGGCUAACUCCGUGCCAGCAGCCGCGGUAAUACGGAGGAUCCGAGCGUUAUCCGGAUUUAUUGGGUUUAAAGGGAACGUAGGGGGGGUGUUAAGUCAGUUGUGAAAGUUUGGGGCUCAACCGGAAAAUUGCAAUUGAUACUGGCGUUCUUGAGUGAACUGGAGGUAGGCGGAAUUCGUGGUGUAGCGGUGAAAUGCUUAGAUAUCACGAAGAACUCCGAUUGCGAAGGCAGCUUACUAAAGCGCCACUGACACUGAUGCUCGAAAGCGUGGGUAUCAAACAGGAUUAGAUACCCGGGUAGUC